AUUGAACGCUGGCGGCAGGCUUAACACAUGCAAGUCGAGCGGGGGAAGGUAGCUUGCUACCGGACCUAGCGGCGGACGGGUGAGUAAUGCUUAGGAAUCUGCCUAUUAGUGGGGGACAACAUCUCGAAAGGGAUGCUAAUACCGCAUACGUCCUACGGGAGAAAGCAGGGGAUCUUAGGACCUUGCGCUAAUAGCUGAGCCUAAGUCGGAUUUGCUGGUUGGUGGGGUAAAGGCCUACCAAGGCGACGAGCUGUAGCGGGUCUGAGAGGAUGAUCCGCCACACUGGGACUGAGACACGGCCCAGACUCCUACGGGAGGCAGCAGUGGGGAAUAUUGGACAAUGGGGGGAACCCUGAUCCAGCCAUGCCGCGUGUGUGAAGAAGGCCUUAUGGUUGUAAAGCACUUUAAGCGAGGAGGAGGCUACUUUAGUUAAUACCUAGAGAUAGUGGACGUUACUCGCAGAAUAAGCACCGGCUAACUCUGUGCCAGCCGCCGCAGUAA
rnacentral:rRNA from 1 species